rnacentral:rRNA from 1 species
GACGAACGCUGGCGGCGUGCUUAACACAUGCAAGUCGAACGGAAAGGCCCCCUUGUGGGGUACUCGAGUGGCGAACGGGUGAGUAACACGUGAGUAACCUACCCUUGACUUUGGGAUAACUUCAGGAAACUGGGGCUAAUACCGGAUAGGAGCUCCUGCUGCAUGGUGGGGGUUGGAAAGUUUCGGCGGUUGGGGAUGGACUCGCGGCUUAUCAGCUUGUUGGUGGGGUAGUGGCUCACCAAGGCUUUGACGGGUAGCCGGCCUGAGAGGGUGACCGGCCACAUUGGGACUGAGAUACGGCCCAGACUCCUACGGGGGGCAGCAGUGGGGAAUAUUGCACAAGGGGCGGAGGCCUAAUGCAGCAACGCCGCGUGCGGGAGGACGGCCUUCGGGUUGUAAACCGCUUUCGCCUGUGACGAAGCGUGGGUGACGGUAAUGGGAAAAGAAACACCGGCAAACUACGU